rnacentral:rRNA from 1 species
CACGGGGGGAGCAAGCGUUGUUCGGAAUCACUGGGCGUAAAGGGCGUGUAGGCGGUUGCGUAAGUGGAAUGUGAAAUCCCCCGGCUUACCCGGGGACCUGCAUCCCAAACUGCGCGACUUGAGUAUGGGAGAGGAUGAGGGAAUUCCUGGUGUAGCGGUGAAAUGCGUAGAUAUCAGGAGGAACACCAAUAGCGAAGGCAGCUCGCUGGGACGGUACUGACGCUAAGGCGCGAAAGCGUGGGGAGCGAACAGG